AGAGUUUGAUCCUGGCUCAGGACGAACGCUGGCGGCGUGCUUAACACAUGCAAGUCGAGCGGAAAGGCCACUUCGGUGGUACUCGAGCGGCGAACGGGUGAGUAACACGUGAGUAAUCUGCCCCUGGCUUUGGGAUAGCCACCGGAAACGGUGAUUAAUACCGGAUACGACAACUUCUCGCAUGGGAUGGUUGUGGAAAGUUUUUCGGCCAGGGAUGUGCUCGCGGCCUAUCAGCUUGAUGGUGAGGUAAUGGCUCACCAUGGCUUCGACGGGUAGCCGGCCUGAGAGGGUGACCGGCCACACUGGGACUGAGACACGGCCCAGACUCCUACGGGAGGCAGCAGUGGGGAAUAUUGGACAAUGGGCGGAAGCCUGAUCCAGCAACGCCGCGUGAGGGAUGACGGCCUUCGGGUUGUAAACCUCUUUCGGUGGGGACGAAGCGCAAGUGACGGUACCCACUAAAGAAGCACCGGCCAACUACGUGCCAGCAGCCGCGGUAAUACGUAGGGUGCGAGCGUUGUCCGGAAUUAUUGGGCGUAAAGGGCUCGUAGGCGGUUUGUCGCGUCGGGAGUGAAAACCAGGUGCUUAACACCUGGCUUGCUUUCGAUACGGGCAGACUAGAGGUAUUCAGGGGAGAACGGAAUUCCUGGUGUAGCGGUGAAAUGCGCAGAUAUCAGGAGGAACACCGGUGGCGAAGGCGGUUCUCUGGGAAUGACCUGACGCUGAGGAGCGAAAGUGUGGGGAGCGAACAGGAUUAGAUACCCUGGUAGUCCACACCGUAAACGUUGGGCGCUAGGUGUGGGGUCCAUUCCACGGAUUCCGUGCCGCAGCUAACGCAUUAAGCGCCCCGCCUGGGGAGUACGGCGCAAGGCUAAAACUCAAGGAUUGACGG
rnacentral:rRNA from 1 species